GAAUCGCUAGUAAUCGCAGAUCAGCAUGCUGCGGUGAAUACGUUCCCGGGUCUUGUACACACCGCCCGUCACACCAUGGGAGCCGGGAAUGCCCGAAGUCAGCGGCCCAACCGAAAGGAGGGAGCUGCCGAAGGCAGGCCUGGUGACUGGGGUGAAGUCGUAACAAGGUAAC
rnacentral:rRNA from 1 species